CAGGUGAACUCCAGGCAAUUCUAGACCAGAGGAAGGCAGCUUACCUGGCUGCCUGGAGGAAGGCCCAGCUGUACG